UUGGGCGGCCUGCGCACCGGAUGGGGAUGAAAUGAUGAUGUAGACAACACAACACCCAGUCCCUGAGCGGAGAAAAUCCCCGACACAGCCGGAAAUCCAACCUGGGCCCUUUAGGACAGCAGUCCGUCACGCUGAUCAUUCUGCUAUCGGGUCGGACAAUUUGCAGGUGAAGGACAUUGCAAGACUGAGAAGAUCCAGCUAUUACCACUAAGCAGACCACGACCAACUGAUGCAACAGUGAAGUUAGCAAAGUUUAAAUCUCUGCAGAUAUUAACAACGAAUAUCCACUGCAAGAGACAAUCAUGACUCUACGAUCAAAGCUCAUGGUUACUCAAGACGCUGUCUUCAUAAACGCACAAGUUAUGUGGAUCAAGAACUGUUCGCAACAAAUGUGGAAACUAGCAAGAAGAUCAGCCUUCUGUUUUGUUGCUAGCCCUGGCGAGAAGAUCAGCCUUCUGUUUUGGUGCUAGCACGGGCGAGUCUAUCUUCCAGCAAAAAAUUAAAUCUGCAGAAAGCGUUAGAAAAUGUGAAAAUGGUAACCCUACAAAGAGCAGUUUCUGAAAGCCGUCAUUCGCUGAUAGAACUGGUAGAAAUCAAUAUUUAAUGCAGCCAUGCAACUUUAAUUCGUCAACCAAAGUGGGAAAGCAACGGGCACAGCUAUUUUGAAACAGAAUACUUGAUAAUGUACUUUCCAGAAAUAAUUCUGGCAACUUACCCGACCACAAAGAAGGUAAGAAUGCCUUCCCCAGAUAAAAGCGUCGUGUGUAGCUCAGGGAUGAUUCGUUGUGUGGAGGAACACCUACUCUGUUACGGCGGCAGUCUGCUAGUACAUUUGAGAUGAUACAGCCACGUCCGUAAUAUGCUGUAGUACUGAGCCAUUUUUAUGGGUAAUAAAUACCAACUUUAAGUA